rnacentral:rRNA from 1 species
UACGUAGGGAGCAAGCGUUGUCCGGAAUCAUUGGGCGUAAAGCGCGCGUAGGCGGCCCGAUAAGUCCGCUGUGAAAGUCAACGGCUCAACUGUUGGAUGCCGGUGGAUACUGUCGGGCUAGAGUACGGAAGAGGCAAGUGGAAUUCCUGGUGUAGCGGUGAAAUGCGCAGAUAUCAGGAGGAACACCAGCGGCGAAGGCGGCGCUCUGGGCCGGUACUGACGCUGAGGAGCGAAAGCGUGGGUAGCAAACAGG